ACCGUGCAAAGGUAGCAUAAUCAUUUGCCUAUUAAUUGUAGGCUAGAAUGAAGGGACAAACGAGAAUAUCCCUGUCUCCUUUAAGACACUAAAAAUUUAUCUUUAAGUGAAGAAGCUUAAAUUUCUAUGCAGGACAAGAAGACCCUGUAGAGCUUUACCUAAAAAUUGCAAUAUCGGCAAAUAAGGGUUCGGUUGGGGCGACCAGGGGAUAUUUAUCACCCCUAAUAACUUAGACCCACCAGUCAUUAAAAGAUCCUUACUUAAGAUCAACGAAUCAAGCUACCUUAGGGAUAACAGGCUAAUCCUCUUAGAGAGCCCUUAUCGACAAGAGGGG
rnacentral:rRNA from 1 species